AGCCGUCGCGGUUAGACGAAGAAUCUAAAUAGAACAAUUGUUUGUUAGUUUACGUUAAUUUUUGAGGUAGUAUUUUCUUUUUUGUUGGGUGAAAUCAAAAUAAAAGGUUAAAAUUUCCAUAAAAAUUUAAAGGAACUAAAAAACUUAGAUUAAAAACCAGGAUUAGAUACCCUGUUAUUCUAAGCUAAAUAGAAAUAGGGUAGUAAAAGCUGUUCUUCAAACCCAAAGAUUUUGGCGGCACUUUACCCAAAUAGAGGAGCUUGCCCUAUAAUCGAUAGUCCUCGUUUUAUCUUGCCCUAACUUGUUAAGCUUGUAUACCGCCGUUGCCAGAUUACUUUUGAAGAACGUUUUCAAGAAAUGAAAUUUUUCAACUUCAGGUCAAGGUGCAGUUUAUGUUAGGGUAGAGGUGAGCUACACUUUUUAUUAAAAAGUACGGAUCUUAAAUGUAAUUUUAAGGGAAGGUGGAUUUAUUAGUAAAUUAAUUUAAGUACAAUUAGUUGAACUAGGUAAUAGAGUGUGCACAUAUCGCCCGUCACUCUCUUCUCAAGAGGAGAUAAGUCGUAACAAA
rnacentral:rRNA from 1 species